AUGUACUUGCAGGCAUCUUUGCCGUGGGUUGUCAUAAGGGAUUUCAACGAAAUCCUCUACUCUCAUGAAAAAAAGAGGAGCUCCAAGACAGUACGUAUGAUGCAGAAUUUCCGCGAUGCUCUGGUUGAUUGCGAGCUGGAUGACAUGGGUUGCUCAGGAGAACUUUUCACUUGGAGAAGACGACGCCUCAGGGAACGACUGGACCGGGCUGUGUGCAACGCUUGGUUCCAUGGGCUUUUUCCUGAUGCAAAGAUAGUUAAUGCUCCACAUACAAAAUCUGACCAUAGACCUCUCGUGCUGGACACAGAGGGUGACGCGGGAAUCACAUUCCAUCAUGGGCAGGGGCAGUGGCGGUUUGAGGCAAGCUGGCUCAAAGAAAGCGACGUUGUGGACAGAGUUACUGAGGCAUGGAAUCGAACGCCCGGUUCGGUACCACUGUCAGAACGAACAGCGGCAGUAAGCUGCAUGACUGGGACCGAAGAGUUCUGA
rnacentral:rRNA from 1 species